CUACGGGUGGCAGCAGUGGGGAAUAUUGGACAAUGGGGGAAACCCUGAUCCAGCAAUGCCGCGUGUGUGAAGAAGGCCUGCGGGUUGUAAAGCACUUUCGGUUGGGAGGACUGCUUCUAGCACUAAUAUUGUUGGAAGUUGACGUUACCUUCAGAAGAAGCACCGGCUAACUCCGUGCCAGCAGCCGCGGUGAAUACGGAGGGUGCAAGGGUUAAUCGGAAUUACUGGGCGUAAAGCGCGCGUAGGCGGCUAGAUCAGUCGGGUGUGAAAGCCCCGGGCUUAACCUGGGAACUGCAUCCGAUACUGUCUAGCUUGAGUACAGGAGAGGAGAGUGGAAUUCCACACGUAGCGGUGAUAUGCGUAGAUAUGUGGAGGAACACCAAUGGCGGAGGCAGCUCUCUGGCCUGAUACUGACGCUGAGGUGCGAAAGCGUGGGGAGCAAACAGGAUUAGAUACCCCCGUAGUC
rnacentral:rRNA from 1 species